GCCGGGGUGCCCGAGCGGUCUAAGGGGCCGGCCUGGAGAGCCGGUGGGUCAUGGCGGCCCGCGCGGGUUCAAAUCCCGCCCCCGGCGCCA
rnacentral:tRNA from 1 species